AUGGUACUGCCCGAAGUUGACGGCGGCGUGGUGGCCGGACGUGACCCACAUGAUGAUGGUGAGGAUCUGGACGAGGUUCUCCUUGGAGUCGCACACGGGCCACCACGGCUCGUCCUUCUUGUCCGCGUGCCCCUUGGUGCGCACCUCCUCCCACCACGCCCGCAGCUCCUCGUCGCCGGCCACGUCCUCGUCCGACUUGUAGUAGAAGUCCACGUAGUCGGACGCCCACUCCUUGAUGGAGCCCCAGAUGAGCAGCCCGUCGUCGGCGUACGGGUAGUCCUUGAUGGCGAGCUCGAGCUCGCCGUCGUCCCUGCGCUCGGCGAGCCCCCGGCUGACGAGGUCCUCCGGCAGCGCCUCCGUGUCGAACUGCCAGGCCGCGCCGUAGGCGACGGAGCUGAGCUCGAUGGAGUACCUCCCCGGCCAGAAGGCCUCCUCGAUGAUGCCGUCGGCGUUGAUGAGCGCCUCCCGGGCCAGCGCGUUGAUCUCCAUGGUGUAGCGGAAGUGCGGGUGCAGCAGGCGGUGCACCGGGUGCAUCCGGCUGAGCUGCCGGUUGGUGGCGAUGAUGUAGGGCUCGACGCAGGCGUGCGUGCGCAGCCAGUGGCUGACCAGCUGGUGGUAGCCGGUGUCGUGGGUCAGCACGUGCGCCUUGGCCAGCUUCCACAGCCACGACUCGGUGGCGUCGGGGCCGUGCGUGAAGGCGCGCUUCCACUGCGGCCUGGUCGGCGACUGAGGCCGCGUCAGCUCGAUGGCCAGCGGCAUCAGCGUGCCCUCCUCGCUCAGGAAGAAGACGGUGCGGGAGCCGUACAGCGUCGUGUCCGGCAGCUCGCGCACCCUGUGCACGUACGGCAGGAACACGUCGUGGUAGUCCAGCAGGAACAGCCGCUUCUUCUCCACCGCCUCCUCCACCGUCAUGCGCCCGUUCAUCAUCUUCUCCAGGACCUCCUUGGUCAGCGCCGACUCCGCCGGCCCGUACACCGCCGGGUCCAGCUUGCUCACGAUGGGGAAUUCCUGCACCAUGGAUGCAUGCAUGCAUGCACUCUCGUUAAUUAA
rnacentral:rRNA from 1 species